rnacentral:rRNA from 1 species
UACAGAGGGGGCUAGCGUUAUUCGGAAUUAUUGGGCGUAAAGGGCGCGUAGGCGGCCAUGCGUGUCUUCCGUGAAAUCCCUCGGCUUAACUGAGGACGUGCGGAAGAAACUGCAAGGCUCGAGUCCGGGAGAAGGGGGUGGAAUUCCCAGUGUAGCGGUGAAAUGCGUAGAUAUUGGGAGGAACACCGGUGGCGAAGGCGGCCCCCUGGACCGGAACUGACGCUGAGGCGCGAAAGCGUGGGGAGCGAACAGG